rnacentral:misc_RNA from 1 species
GAUGAAGAACGCAGCGAAAUGCGAUAAGUAAUGUGAAUUGCAGAAUUCAGUGAAUCAUCGAAUCUUUGAACGCACAUUGCGCCCGCCAGUAUUCUGGCUGGCAUGCCUGUCUGAGCGUCAUUUCAACCCUCAUGCCCCUAGGGCGUGGUGUUGGGGAUCGGCCAAAGCCCGCGAGGGACGGCCGGCCCCUAAAUCUAGUGGCGGACCCGUCGUGGCCUCCUCUGCGAAGUAGUGAUAUUCCGCAUCGGAGAGCGAUGAGCCCCUGCCGUUAAACCCCCAACUUUCCAAGGUUGACCUCAGAUCAGGUAGGAAUACCCGCUGAACUUAAGCAUAUCAAUAAGCGGAGGA